AUUGAACGCUGGCGGCAUGCCUUACACAUGCAAGUCGAACGGUAACAGGUCUUCGGAUGCUGACGAGUGGCGAACGGGUGAGUAAUACAUCGGAACGUGCCUAGUAGUGGGGGAUAACUACUCGAAAGAGUGGCUAAUACCGCAUGAGAUCUACGGAUGAAAGCAGGGGAUCGCAAGACCUUGUGCUACCAGAGCGGCAGAUGGCAGAUUAGGUGGUUGGUGGGAUAAAAGCUUACCAAGCCGACGAUCGGUAGCUGGUCUGAGAGGCCGAUCAGCCACACUGGGACGGAGCCAGGGCCCAGACGCCUACGGGAGGCAGCAGUGGGGAAUUUUGGACAAUGGGCGCAAGCCUGAUCCAGCAAUGCCGCGUGCAGGAUGAAGGCCUUCGGGUUGUAAACUGCUUUUGUACGGAACGAAAAGCCCCGGGUUAAUACCCUGGGGUCAUGACGGUACCGUAAGAAUAAGCACCGGCUAACUAUGUGCCAGCCGCCGCAGUAA
rnacentral:rRNA from 1 species